AUACGGAGGGUGCAAGCGUUACUCGGAAUCACUGGGCGUAAAGCGCGCGCAGGCGGCUUGAUAAGUUGGAUGUGAAAGCCUACGGCUCAACCGUAGAACUGCAUCCAAAACUGUCAAGCUAGAGUCUGGGAGGGGAAGAUGGAAUUAGUUGUGUAGGGGUAAAAUCCGUAGAGAUAACUAGGAAUACCAAAAGCGAAGGCGAUCUUCUGGAACAGUACUGACGCUGAGGCGCGAAAGCCAGGGGAGCGAACCGGAGUAGAUACCCGAGUAGUCC
rnacentral:rRNA from 1 species